UACAGAGGGGGCAAGCGUUAUUCGGAAUUAUUGGGCGUAAAGGGCGCGUAGGCGGCCUGGCAAGUGGAAGGUGAAAUCCCUCAGCUUAACCGAGGAACUGCCUCCCAAACUGCUUGGCUUGAGACCGGGAGAGGUGAGUGGAAUUCCCAGUGUAGCGGUGAAAUGCGUAGAUAUUGGGAGGAACACCAGUGGCGAAGGCGGCUCACUGGACCGGUACUGACGCUGAUGCGCGAAAGCGUGGGGAGCAAACGGG
rnacentral:rRNA from 1 species